GCAUAUCAAUAAGCGGAGGAAAAGAAACCAACAGGGAUUGCCCCAGUAACGGCGAGUGAAGCGGCAACAGCUCAAAUUUGAAAUCUGGCUCUCAGGGCCCGAGUUGUAAUUUGUAGAGGAUGCUUUUGGCGAGGUGCCUUCCGAGUUCCCUGGAACGGGACGCCACAGAGGGUGAGAGCCCCGUAUGGUCGGACACCGAGCCUCUGUAAAGCUCCUUCGACGAGUCGAGUAGUUUGGGAAUGCUGCUCAAAAUGGGAGGUAUAUGUCUUCUAAAGCUAAAUAUUGGCCAGAGACCGAUAGCGCACAAGUAGAGUGAUCGAAAGAUGAAAAGCACUUUGAAAAGAGGGUUAAAAAGUACGUGAAAUUGUUGAAAGGGAAGCGCCUAUGACCAGACUUGCGCCCGGUGAAUCACCCAGCGUUCUCGCUGGUGCACUUUGCCGGGCACAGGCCAGCAUCAGUUCAGCGCGGGGGAGAAAGGCUUCGGGAAUGUGGCUCCCUCGGGAGUGUUAUAGCCCGCUGCGUAAUGCCCUGCGCCGGACUGAGGUACGCGCAUUGCAAGGAUGCUGGCGUAAUGGUCAUCAGCGACCCGUCUUGAAACACGGACCAAGGAGUCGUCUUCGUAUGCGAGUGUUCGGGUGUCAAACCCCUACGCGUAAUGAAAGUGAACGUAGGUGAGAGCUUCGGCGCAUCACCGACCGAUCCUGAUGUUCUCGGAUGGAUUUGAGUAAGAGCAUACGGGGCCGGACCCGAAAGAAGGUGAACUAUGCCUGUAUAGGGUGAAGCCAGAGGAAACUCUGGUGGAGGCUCGCAGCGGUUCUGACGUGCGAAUCGAUCGUCAAAUAUGGGCAUGGGGGGCGAAAGACUAAUCGAACCUUCUAGUAGCUGGUUUCCGCCG
rnacentral:rRNA from 1 species